rnacentral:rRNA from 1 species
UACGUAGGGGGCAAGCGUUGUCCGGAAUCAUUGGGCGUAAAGCGCGCGUAGGCGGCCCGGUAAGUCCGUUGUAAAAGUCGAAGGCUCAACCUUCGAAAGCCGAUGGAUACUGCCGGGCUAGAGUACGGAAGAGGCGAGUAGAAUUCCUGGUGUAGCGGUGGAAUGCGCAGAUAUCAGGAGGAAUACCCAUAGCGAAGGCAGCUCGCUGGGACGUUACUGACGCUGAGGCGCGAAAGCGUGGGGAGCGAACAGG